UUGUUACUCCCUCCGUCUGGAAUUACUUGUCGCACAAAUGGAUAAAAAAUGAUGUAUCUAAAACUAAAAUAUAUCUAAAUACAUCCAUUCUUAUGACAAGUAUUUCCGGACGGAGGGAGUACAUU
rnacentral:pre_miRNA from 1 species